CGUCACUGUAGAGUCUGACGGAGCAACGCCGCGUGAGUGAUGAAGGUUUUCGGAUCGUAAAGCUCUGUUGUUAGGGAAGAACAAGUACCGUUCGAAUAGGGCGGUACCUUGACGGUACCUAACCAGAAAGCCACGGCUAACUACGUGCCAGCAGCCGCGGUAAUACGUAGGUGGCAAGCGUUGUCCGGAAUUAUUGGGCGUAAAGGGCUCGCAGGCGGUUUCUUAAGUCUGAUGUGAAAGCCCCCGGCUCAACCGGGGAGGGUCAUUGGAAACUGGGGAACUUGAGUGCAGAAGAGGAGAGUGGAAUUCCACGUGUAGCGGUGAAAUGCGUAGAGAUGUGGAGGAACACCAGUGGCGAAGGCGACUCUCUGGUCUGUAACUGACGCUGAGGAGCGAAAGCGUGGGGAGCGAACAGGAUUAGAUACCAGGUAGUCCAA
rnacentral:rRNA from 1 species